GAUGAACGCUGGCGGCGUGCCUAAUACAUGCAAGUCGAGCGAACUGAUUAGAAGCUUGCUUCUAUGACGUUAGCGGCGGACGGGUGAGUAACACGUGGGCAACCUGCCUGUAAGACUGGAAUAACUUCGGGAAACCGAAGCUAAUACCGGAUAGGAUCUUCUCCUUCAUGGGAGAUGAUUGAAAGAUGGUUUCGGCUAUCACUUACAGAUGGGCCCGCGGUGCAUUAGCUAGUUGGUGAGGUAACGGCUCACCAAGGCAACGAUGCAUAGCCGACCUGAGAGGGUGAUCGGCCACAUUGGGACUGAGACACGGCCCAGACUCCUACGGGAGGCAGCAGUAGGGAAUCUUCCGCAAUGGACGAAAGUCUGACGGAGCAACGCCGCGUGAGUGAUGAAGGCUUUCGGGUCGUAAAACUCUGUUGUUAGCGAAGAACAAGUACGAGAGUAACUGCUCGUACCUUGACGGUACCUAACCAGAAAGCCACGGCUAACUACGUGCCAGCCGCCGCAGUAAUAC
rnacentral:rRNA from 1 species